UUAGCUAAUCAGUUAUAGGCACCAUUAGACCUGCAGUAGGAGUGUGCAUGUCUGUGUGUCAUGCCACCAAUAAAAUCUAUGCCCAAAUGUCUGAGCCAAUCAGAGAAUAGAAAUGGAUUGGGGUGGCCAAGGCUAGAAGGUAUUAAGAAUUUACAUGAAGUGGAGUGACUGUCAUGUAAGGGUGAAACUGUAUAAAAGCAGAGUACUGAGAAUGGAGAGAUCAGUUCUUACAUGGAAUUGCUCGGCUUUGUUACUUUUGUAAUGAAGUCUAUUUGAAUUCACAAGCUCCGGUAUCUGAGAAACAUUUGUUUCAAUAUUUCUACGACAGACACCUACUCAUUCAAAGGUUUUUCUUUAUUUUUUACCAUUUUCUACAUUGUAGAAUAAUAGUGAAGACAUCAACACUAUGAAAUAACCCAAAUGGAAUCAUGUAGUAACCAAAAAAAGUGUUAAACAAAUCAAAAUAUAUUUAAUAUUUGAGAUUCUUCAAAGUAGCCACCCUUUGCCUUUAUGACAGCUUUGCACUCUCUUGACAUUCUCUCAACCAGCUUCAUGAGGUAGUCUGGAAUGCAUUUCAAUUAACAGGUGUGCCUUGUUAAAAUUUCUGGAAUUUCUUUCCUUACUUAAUUUGAGCCAGUCAGCUGUGUUGUGACAAGGUAGGGGUGGUAUACCGGAGAUAGUCCUAUUUGGUAAAAGACCAAGUAAGACCAAAUAGCUCAUAUAGGCAAAGAGAAAUGACAGUCCAUCAUUACUUUAAGACAUAAAAGUCAGUCAAUCAUGAACAUUUCAAGAACUUUGAACGUUUUUUUAAGUGCAGUCGCAAUAACCAAGUGCUAUGAUGAAACUGGCUCUCAUGAGGACUGCCAUAGGAAAGGAUGACCGAGAGUUACCUCUGAUAUAGAGGAUAAGUCCAUUAGAGUUACCAGCCUCAGAAAUUGCAGCCCAAAUAAAUGCUUCCCAGAGAUCAAGUAACAGACACAUCUCAACAUCAACUGUUCAGAGGAGACUGCGUGAAUCAGGCCUUCAUGGUCAAAUUGCUGCAAAGAAACCACUACAAAGGACACCAAUAAUAAGAAGAGACUUGGCCAAGAAACACGAGCAAUGGACAUUAGACCGGUGGAAAUCUGUCCUUUGGUCUGAUGAGUCCAAAUGUGAAUUGUUUGUCUUUGUGAGACGCAGAGUGGGUGAACGGAUGAUCUCUUCAUGUGUGGUUCCCACCGUGUAGCAUGGAGGAGGUGUGAUGGUGUAGGGGUGCUUUGCUGGUGACACUGUCAGUGAUUUAUUUAGAAAUCAAAGCACACUUAACCAGAAUGGCUACCACUCUCUUCCCCUGAUCUGUUUCACCUGUCCUUGUGCUUGUCUCCACCCCCCUCCAGGUGUCACCCAUCUUCUCAAUUAUCCCCUGUGUAUUUAUACUUGUGUUCUCUGUCUGUUUGUUGCCAGUUCGUCUUGUUCGUUCAAGCUUACCAGCGUUUUCCUGUUAGCUCCUAUCUGUUCCCAGCCUCUCUUUGCUAGUCUUCCCAGUUUUGACCUCUGCCUGUCCUGACCCUGUACCCGCCCUCUCUGCCUGACCCUGAGCCUGCCUGCUGUCCUGUACCUUUGCUCCACCUCUGGAUUACUGAACCCUGUCUGUCCCUAACCCUGAGUCCGCCUGCCGUCCUGUACCAUUGCCUUACCCUGGAUUACUGAACCCUGUCUGUCCCUAACCCUGAGUCCGCCUGCCGUCCUGUACCAUUGCCUUACCCUGGAUUACUGAACCCUGUCUGUCCCUAACCCUGAGUCCGCCUGCCGUCCUGUACCAUUGCCUUACCCUGGAUUACUGAACCCUGUCUGUCCCUAACCCUGAGUCCGCCUGCCGUCCUGUACCAUUGCCUUACCCUGGAUUACUGAACCCUGUCUGUCCCUAACCCUGAGUCCGCCUGCCGUCCUGUACCAUUGCCUUACCCUGGAUUACUGAACCCUGUCUGUCCCUAACCCUGAGUCCGCCUGCCGUCCUGUACCAUUGCCUUACCCUGGAUUACUGAACCCUGUCUGUCCCUAACCCUGAGUCCGCCUGCCGUCCUGUACUAUUGCCUUACCCUGGAUUUUCAACCACUGCCUGCUUUGGCAUGUCUUUGCCUGCCGCUGUUGCUACAAUAAACAGUGUUACUUUGACAGUCUGCAUCUGGGUCUUACCUUGAUUCCUGAUAACCACAGCAUUCUACAGCGAUACGCCACCCAAUGUGGUUUGCGCUUAGUGGGACUAUCUUAUGUUUUUCAACAGGACAACCUCAAUCCAAUUGAGACGGUUUGGGAUGAGUUGGACCUCAGAGUGAAGCAAAAGCAGCCAACAAGUGCUCAGCAUCUGUGGGAACUCUUCAAGACUGUUCAAGCAUUCCAGGUGAAGCUGGUUGCGAGAAUGCCAAGAGUGUGCAAUGCUGUCAUCAAGGUUCUCCCACUGCCGCCGUUUUCUGGGUAAUCUUCAAAGUUUCUGGUGGUAGCAAAACACAGCCAGUCAUGUGGACGAUUGGAGGACUUCCAACAGACUGACUGGUCUUCCAGCAUGGCGCCUGGUCUGGUUGCUACAGUAGGUGAUCUGUGAAGAAACUACAAGCCCUCUAUAGUGUCACAACCUGUUUAUACUUAUCUGUACACAAUUUCAUUGGUUGAUUGGUUUGACUUAUCUAUCUACACCUGGGGCCGGUUCAGGAGAAUGGAAAUUCCCAGAUUUUUCGGAAAGAAACAUUGUGUAGAUCAAACAUGAUCUACUUUCAGAUAGAUUGAUAUAUUAUGGGACAUUGUGUGUGUGCUCCAUUAGUUGAAGGUAGCAAAUCCAAAAGUUUCUGAAGAGUAGUCACUUCCUUAGAUCUGUGUUCAAAUCUUUUUUUAAAGUAGUUGCUUUCUCAGAUCUGUAUUCAAAUAGUUGUAGUCACCUCCAAUGUAACUAUCUGUUCCGCUAAAAAAAAAAUUACUUUCCACAAAGCGUAUUUUAAACUAUAGUUGUCAAAUGUGUCGUGCCUACUGUCCACAAAAUGGACAACUGAGCUGCACUUUCUAACCUCCUGCCAAAUGUAUGACCACAUUAGAGACACAUAUUUCCCACAGAUGAGAGAGACAGAGAGAAUGAGCCAAAUGCUUUGUCGGUCAUUACAGAGUGAAAACACACCAACCUUCAGGCCACGAGAACCCUUUGGAAACUAGCUAUGACUGUAAACACAACGCUACACCUCUGUGUGUGUGGCUAGCUCUCUCACCUCUCUCCAAAGACCAAUUAGUACCCACCCCCCUCUCCCUUUACUUUCUCUCUCUUAUCUUCAACUCCUGUCCCCUUCUCUCCCCCUUUCCCCUCUUUUUCUCUCCUCGUCAUUCGCACUUUGCAUUCUGUUCUCGCUCUCAAUUUUCACAAGAAAUUUGAACCCUCUGGGGUUUCCCAGCAUCCUUUACACUUUCUCAGAAUCUCUUUUUUUGGCGGGGGGGGGGGGCAGCGUCGUCCGGGUUUGGCCGGUGUAGGCAGUCAUUGUAAAUAAGAAUUUGUUCUUAACUGACUUGCCUUGUUAAAUAAAGGUUAAAUAAAAAUAAAUCAACAAAUACAUAUUUUAAAUAUAACCCCUUCUCAAUUCACAGAAUGUUAGGGACUUUCCUCCUGUCAUCGCCACCUCGGUUACUCUGUCACCUUCUCUUUUCCCUCCAAAAUGUUCUCUCUAGCUCUCUGUUCUUCACACCGUCUCUUCCUCCGUUCAUCUGUCGUUUACCCGCUUACUCUCUGUGAAUUAGAAAAUGGUGUUCCUUACCAAGGCCCCCACCAGUAUGCAUACAUAUGCACACUGACACAAACACACACUAACACACACACACACACACACACUAACACACAAUCACUCGCUCACUCAUCAUAGCCAUCUAAUUAAACAGGCUCCUCUUCAUAUCAUCAAGGCAAGGUGCUAAUACAGGUCUGUAUUUCAAUACGAUAAACACAUUUUGAUCUUAAUGUCUUACACAAAUGACUUAUGUCAUCACAUCAUCUGUGGGAUAUAGUCGACUAAGCUUGGCACGUUUUUCAUAUUUUUUCUCUUUUACAGACACACACAUGCGCACACACACACACACACACACACACACACGUCAAAUCUGUCAUACACUCUCUCCCCUGAUCCCUCUCAGUAAUUUGCUCAUUAUCAGGCUGGUGGUGAGAUGUAAGCUGGAUGUAAUGUCUGUAAUGGUUACAUGGUGUUUGACAGAUAAGGCUCCGGGCUCACUGUCAGGACUGUCAGAAUCAGUCCAAUCUGACAACCAGUUGGGAAAAGGUUGAUUCCUGAAAACACUUGCACAGACACGAAUACACUUACAUACACACACACGCAUAACCACACGCACACAGGGACACGUCCACUUCUAUCUACACAAACAGGAUUGCUCACACACAAGCACAACACACUUAUACCCAGGCACAAUAAUGGAGAAAUGGUUCCAGUUCACAUCUAGUUGUUUCACAGUUACUGGCGUCUCUCUCAUGUCUCUUUCUCUCCUCCCCCUCACUCCUUUUAACACAACCAGACAUGGUGGGGAUGGUAAUAACCACGACACCUUCCCCUGGCAGAGCUCUGUCAUUCUCAUACUCCUCCGACAAGGGCUUCGUUACGCUGGCCCGCCGCUCGCUGGGAAGUAGGUUGUUGCCAUGGUGACAGAGCGCUUGACGGAUAGGUCUGUGUGUGCGCACUGGCCCUCAGUGAGGAAUGUCUCCAUCGGUUGCUACAGCUCCACCAGCGAGACGCUAAGCAAUUAGCAGCUCUGUCACGCCACACGAAACACACACACACACACACACACACCCAAACACCUAUUCACACACACACAUAUAUGUCAAUAGUCAAGACAUACAUACACACGUACGCACAAACGCCUAGACUCAAUACAAACACUUGACUUAUACAACAACAACAAUGCACAUCCUGUACAAACAGAAGCUGUCACACACCUCACAGACCGCAUAUUACACAGCCACACACACUCUGUUUUUCUCAGCAUAUCAGAUUAUUUUUCAUCUGCUGUACAACAGCACACACACACACACACACACGUCCAAACAAACAAACCAACAGCCAGGCCCUCUCAGAUCUAUAUAUAACACACCGUGUUCGCUCUGCUGUUGUGACACAGUUGUCAUGGCUCUGCAGCCCUAAUCUGAUGUGCAGGAAGUCUUUGUGUGAAGUCAAGCAUUCUGAUUUACAACACAAUAGUUCCAUCACUAGUCCACAAUCAAAACAAGAGAGUUGAGAUUAUUCAAAUCGGCUAUAUAUUUUUCAAGAAUAUGUUACAGGAAACUUUGAUUAUUUGGCACUACUUGUUCUAUUGCUGAGGUAUUAUCUAGGCAGAUCUGGUCUCUUUCAUCCCCAGAACUCCUACUGUAGCCACUACGCAGAGCAGAGCAGAAGUUACUCUCGUAGCAACAUGUCAAAGAGAUUAUAACACAGUCAGUUAAUGCAAACAGCCUCGGUAAGAACAUUAGCACUUUACAGGGGGGUGGGUCCAUCAUAAAGGAAACAUGAUGCUGUCGAAUGAAUCAUAUAGCAUCGCUCAUACAGAACUUCUAACAACAAAAUCCUUUUAUGACAAAGUUCAAAGUUAGACCCAAGUUGUUUUCUGUGUUAUUUGCCAUAACACUGCAGUGCACUUUCACUAGUUGUGACAGGUGAUGUUAGUCUCAUGGUAGCCUUUUCUGACUUCAAAUAAAGUUUAUGACAAUUUUCAUAUCCCUCUCUUUUAUCGCUCUCUCCCAUCCUGCACUCCUAGUCCUUCCUAAUAUUUCCCUCUUAUUGUUCUCAUCCCUUUAUAUUUCAGUCGUUCUUUUGAAGGACACAUCAGAGUGUUUGGCAGUGGACUAAUGCAAACCCUUCCUUAGAGGAUUAGUGUGUGUUGAGCGCAUUAAGACCUGAUUUCUCGCUCUCCUUUUUUCCACUCAUCCCUCCCUCUUUAUCUUCUUUCUUGCCUCAAACAUAAAUACCCAGUUGUCAGGAGACUGCUGCCCUCUUACAUCUCGUUUGACCGUACAUCCUUCAUUUAAUGCAGAUAUUUAAAGAUCAACCGUGCAGAAAUCGCCACUUCCUGGUUGGUACAAUUCUAAUAUGUCACGCCCUGACCUUAGAGAGCCUUUUAAUAUCUCUAUUUGGUUUGGUCAUGGUGUGAUUUGGGGUGGGCAUUCUAUGUUUUGUUAUCUAUGAUUUGUAUUUCUAUGUUUUGGCCGGGUAGGGUUCUCAAUCAGGGACAGCUGUCUAUCGUUGUCUCUGAUUGAGAACCAUACUUAGGUAGCCCUUUCCCACCUGUCUUUGUGGGAAGUAACUUUGUUUAUGGCACUUAACCUUCACGGUUGUUUGGUAUUGUUUUGUCGGCGCCAUCACCUAAUAAAAGGGAAUAUGUACGCUGA